rnacentral:sRNA from 1 species
UGCUGUCCUCCUGGAGUGCCUCGAGAGCCCUGGCUCCAGCCCCACGGCCUCCGCAGAUGGAGCCUUCACACAGGGCCACAGAGUUGCUGCUCAGAGAGCUUCACGAUGCAGGUUCUGAAGAAGGCCUUCCAGGCUACGCUCAGGUGGCUGCUGAGCUCACCCAAGACCCCCGGCUGCUCUGAUCUCGGCCCCCUCAUCCCGCAGUUCCUCAGAGAGCUGUUCCCUGUGCUGCAGAAACGCCUGUGCCACCCCUGCUGGGAGGUGAGGGACUCCGCCCUCGAGUUCCUGACCCAGCUGAGCAGGCACUGGGGAGAGCCUGUUCCUGGAGCUCCUGCGCAUCCUCUCCGUAGACUCGGAGGGCUUCCCACGGCGGGCGGUCAUGCAGGUCUUCACCGAGUGGCUGCGGGACGGCCACGCCGACGCGGCCCAGGACACGGAGCAGUUCGUGGCCACUGUGCUGCAGGUGGUGAGCCGGGACCUGGACUGGGAGGUCCGCGCCCAGGGCCUGGAGCUGGCACUGGUGUUCCUGGGCCAGACUUUGGGGCCGCCACGUACCCACUGCCCCUAUGCCAUGGCCCUACCCGAGGUGGCCCCAGCCCGGCCACUCACCGAGGCACUGAGGGCUCUCUGCCACGUGGGGCUCUUUGACUUCGCCUUUUGUGCCUU